rnacentral:rRNA from 1 species
GACGAACGCUGGCGGCGUGCUUAACACAUGCAAGUCGAACGGAAAGGCCCUGCUUUUGUGGUGUGCUCGAUUGGCGAUCGUGUGAGUAACACGUGAGUAACCUGCCCUUGACUUUGUGAUAACUUCAGGUAACUGGGGCUAAUACCGUAUAGGAUCUCCUGCUGCAUGGUGGGGGUUGGAAAUUUUCGGCGGUUGGGGAUGGACUCGCGGCUUAUCAGCUUGUUGGUUGGGUAGUGGCUUACCAAGGCUUUGAAGGGUAGCCGGCCUGUGAGGGUGACCGGCCACAUUGGGACUGAGAGAGGGAACAGACUGCAACGGGAGGCAGCAGUGGGGAAUAUUGCACAAUGGGAGGAAGCAUGAUGAAGAAACGCGGCGUGCGGGAUGACGGCCUUCGGGUUGUAAACCGCAUUAGACUGUGACGAAGCGUGAGUGACGGUAAUGGGUAAAGAAGCACCGGCUAACUACGUG